CUCGUGUUCUAACCAUUUUUGUUUGCAAAGAAUUCAAAAUACAAUCCAAACUUCAACACUACACCUUUUGUUUCUAUAAUUUCCUGCUGAAAGAUCUUCACGGAAUGGGAUUGUUCGGUAUCAUAUGUCGCAAUUCUACAAUGGUCCUCCUCCUAGGAACAAACAAGAACUAUUUAAUCGUUG